rnacentral:ncRNA from 1 species
CAAAGGCUUGGUCCUGACUUUAACAUCAACUUUAACUAUACUUACACAUGCAAGUAUCCGCACCCCUGUGAGAAUGCCCCCCAGUUCCCCGUCCGGGAACAAGGAGCUGGUAUCAGGCGCACUUUGAAGCCCACGACGCCUUGCUUAGCCACACCCCCAAGGGAAUUCAGCAGUGACAAACAUUAAGCUAUAAGUGAAAACUUGACUUAGUUAAAGCUAAGAGGGCCGGUAAAACUCGUGCCAGCCACCGCGGUUAUACGAGAGGCCCAAGUUGAUGAACAUCGGCGUAAAGAGUGGUUAAGAUAAAAUUAAAACUAAAGCCGAACGUCCCCAAAGCUGUUAUACGCACCCGGGGGUAAGAAGUUCAACCACGAAGGUGGCUUUAUUAAACCUGAACCCACGAAAGCUACGGCACAAACUGGGAUUAGAUACCCCACUAUGCCUAGCCCUAAACAUUGAUAGAAUUUUACAACCUCUAUCCGCCCGGGGACUACAAGCAUCAGCUUGAAACCCAAAGGACUUGGCGGUGCUUUAGAUCCACCUAGAGGAGCCUGUUCUAGAACCGAUAACCCCCGUUCAACCUCACCCCUCUUUGUUAAUACCGCCUAUAUACCACCGUCGUCAGCUUACCCUGUGAGGGACCAAUAGUAAGCUUAACUGGUACAACCCUAAACGUCAGGUCGAGGUGUAGCGUAUGGAGGGGGAAGAAAUGGGCUACAUUCGCUACAACAGCGAACACGAAUGGUGUCCUGAAACGUACAUCUGAAGGAGGAUUUAGCAGUAAGUAGAAAAUAGAGUGUUCUACUGAAAUUGGCCCUGAAGCGCGCACACAUCGCCCGUCACUCUCCCCAAGCCUAAUAAUAAAAUUAACUAAAAACUAAUAAUUGCAAAGGGGAGGCAAGUCGUAACAUAGUAAGUGUACCGGAAGGUGCACUUGGAAAAG